CACGUAGGGGGCAAGCGUUGUCCGGAUUUAUUGGGCGUAAAGAGCUCGUAGGUGGUUCGGUAAGUCAGGUGUGAAACCUCCAGGCUCAACCUGGAGACGCCACUUGAUACUGCUGUGACUGGAGUCCGGUAGGGGAGCGUGGAAUUCCUGGUGUAGCGGUGAAAUGCGCAGAUAUCAGGAGGAACACCGGUGGCGAAGGCGGUUCUCUGGGCCUGUACUGACGCUGAGGAACGAAAGCGUGGGGAGCGAACAGG
rnacentral:rRNA from 1 species